UAUGAUGCAUUUUCUUCA
rnacentral:miRNA from 1 species